GGAAAGGCUGCUAUGAUAUUUCUGCUGCUUUUAUGCAUGUAAAGCCACAGCAGUCAGGAAAGAGCUGCUCUCGUACACAGCAGAAUGACAAAUUCACGGAUCACUUCAAGCAUAAUGUGAUGUGAGCCAAUUGCAUUGUUAAACUACUACAAAGACAGCUAUUCAGAGGUGUUUCUACAUACAUGCAAAGGACGCAUUGACUGCAUAGGAAGAGUGAAGCAUACUCUUGUGGUUAAGAGUGAAUUUUCAGAGCCCCUGGGAUUGACUGCUCAGCUCUGUCAGCUUGAGAAGCAGCUACCACAUUUUCAUGUGAGGAAAAAGCAACACUGAAUGGAAAUGGCAGCUUAAAAAAAAAAUCUUGUACUGUGGACUUGUGAUUCCUUCAUAAGCAAAUGAUUGUGGAAAAUUAAUAUAUUGGGAAGGAAAAACAGAAAGCAUAUUAUACCACUGAAGAGUGGUUUGCAGAUAUAUCUUCUGACAACUGAAGAGACACAUGAAAGUAUGGUUCUACCAAACAGAGGUUCGUAGCUGUCUCCAUCUUGACUUUAAUCUUGCCCAGUGCUCCGUUUGCCCCUCUUAUCAUCAGCUCUCAUUAUCAUAGGAUUUAGACCAGACUCUUUAAGAUGACCUCUAUGAAAGAAUACCUUAAGCAGUGCAGUUCAGGGAAACACAGACAAUGUUUCUGCAGAAGCUGGAUAAGAUUAUGAAGACAGUAAGACACUUCAUCUAGAGGAGACUGGCACGAGGCUCAGCAGGAAACAUCGCUGCUGGCCCCUCAAUGGAUGGUGUGAAGAAGAAAGCAGAAGGAAAGACUACUGCUGCACUAGCCUGAGGAGGUGGCAGUCACUGUGUCAAUGGACCAACACAUUACAAGCUGUGAACCAG
rnacentral:lncRNA from 1 species